UUUUAGUGAAAUAUACUUUAAGGGGGUUAGGAGUAAGGAAAAAGUUGUAAGCUAGUUAAAGUCUCAGAGACUAAUUUGACUAAGUCAAACAUUAUUUGAUUGAAGGUGUAGUAACGAGCGAGAUUUUCUUUGUGUUUGACUGUGGUAGCAAUAGUUGUUGAAAAAACUAUAAUUGAGGUAAGGGUUCCUUCCGAUUUUUGCUUUGCACAUACGGACCAUAUAUGUGUGAUUGAUGUGUGAAUAUGUGAUGAUUAAUAUUGACGUAAUUAUGCAUUCAUGAUUGAUAACAUGAGUUGCUACUUGUUAUGAAUU
rnacentral:lncRNA from 1 species